CAGUGAGCUCAUCAUUAUUUAGUAUAGAAGUUUUUGUGGCAGUAGCUUUAAUAUUUCAGGGGCUAUUGAGCACAUUUUUUAUGUUUUAAAUAUCUAUUAAAAUUAAUUGCUGCAUAAUAAUACAACAUAAUAAAGCAUGUUUUUCCCCAAGAUAUUUAAUGUAGCAUAAAUAAAGUUACUAGUCUUUGUUACUAGCUUACAUAAAAAUAGACAUUUAUACGUUAUUUAUUUGUUUUUACAGAGUGGCCUUUGUUAAAGCUUGUAGACGGUCCCUUAGCAGUCGUCUCGCUGCUUCUCUUCCUCUGCAGCUCAUAGAGAACACUUGUCAUUAAAUGGAAAAUAUAAUGAUAUAUAUAAUUUCACCCUCAAAUUGUAAUGAACUAAAUGGUGUAUUUGCACUGAAUCGAUAACAAAAAGAGCCAGACAAACGGAUAGUUUUUAAUCGGGACAUCCGUGUGAAAAAGCGUGGAAAGGUGCUGGGUGUGGGAAGGAAAGAUGUCUCUCUCCUGCUGUUUCCAUUGACUUUGUACUGCCUGUUACACAAAUCCACCAGUCAAGUUAUCUCAACAAAAGCAAUUCAAUAUUUGGGGAAUUUUAACGAAGGGGCGGGGUAGGAGAUUACACAGAGCUAAUUUUAUAAUGAAAAAAAGCACGCAGACAAACAAACAAACACACACACGGUAACAACCAAACAAACAAACAAACAACCUCUAGAGCCCAAAAAUAGGCGCCAUUGUGAUGAUCCGCCACCUUUGUAAGCUUUAAAGUUUCAAAGCAGCGCUGACGGAGCCUAUGCGCGCUCCCGCGACUAGUCACAAAUCGUGGCAGGGGAUAACUACUUUGGCACCACACCGGAAAUGCAGCAACGAGAUCCUGGCUGCACGUAUUACAUGAGGACAAAACACGAAUUUCCAUCACAUUCUGUGCUGGUCACACGUAAAUAUGUGUAACACCAGUCUUAUUAUAAAUGUCCGAACAUAAAAAAAAAAAAAAAAAAAAAUCAAGUAUCAGCCGCAUUUAUAUUAGCUCACCUGCACCGAGCACAGCUGUCCGGACUCCUCGUCUGUCUUCCCUCCAGAUUACUUUCAGCCAGUGGGUGUACAUGGCGUUGCUACUUUUGAAUAUAUCAUUAGUGACUAUUGCCCAAAUAUCUGUAGGAACAUUUAUCUCAAAAAUAUGGCACAUAAAACAACCAAUAAUGGCUUCUCUCCCGCCAGCUUUUGCCCACAUAUCUGUGGUCCUCCGUCUCUGCCCUUUUUUGAAGCGCCCCAUACUUAAUUUGGCAAUUAAGAAAAUCGCUACUAAAGACUGUGAUCCAAAAAAGCUCCAACUGCUGUCUCCUUCCUCGUGUCUCUGUUAUUUGGAUUGGUCUAUUUGAGAGAUCGGCAACCUAGGGGACGCGUGGCACACAGUGGCACGCAGAGGUGUGACAACAAAAACAUAUUUUGUAGCGUGUUUGUGUUUUUCGAUUUCGAAAAGAGUGGUCAUCUCAUCAAAAUUACAAAACUAGCAUUUUAGCCAUAGACAUAAUAUAUAAUUAGACGCAGCAUCUCUGACAUCCCCCAUUGACUUCCACAGUCCCUGAAAUGAACCCUGAAUAUUCAGCUUAUGGCCGCAGCCAUAUUGGCUGGAGUUAACGGGACCGAGUUUACCCGCUUUUCGUCCGUUUUUUUUAGUUCACGCCCACAGCUCUGCCGUCUGCAGCUCCUCAAUGCUAACUGCUAACAGCUUCAAUUCUCCAGAAAAAAAAAAAUGCGGUGGAUUAUGUACAUCAUGAAUCUUUACAGUUUGGAUUAAUGGUGACAUCAUUUCCAUUUGGCACCAGAAGGACCGUUCAACAAAACCACCACGGCGACGUGAGCUCGACGAGGACCCACAUCACCUGGUUCAGCUGAGGCAGACGGUGGUGGACAUCUUUUAUUUUUAAUUCUACAAGGAAGAGCAGCUCCUGGUUCUCUCAUCACUGUGGAGGACGUGAACGGGCGACGUCUGGAGUCUGGAGCUGUCAUGGGGAUCGGAGAGAACGUCCAGCAGCUGCACACUCUUCAACCCAGCACUAAACUUUUUUUCUCUUUCA